UCUUCUUUUUCUUCUUCUUUAUUUUCUCCUUCUUCUUCGUAUCUUAUUUUGUUUUUCUUUCUUUGCUUUCAUCAAACAUCGGACGAUUUUCGAAAAGCAUAGAAACUGUCUUAAAUUUUCUUAUAAAUAUUUGUUGGUCCGCUCGAACGAUGGAGACAGACAGAGAUGUAACAUUGGAAUCGUCGAGGGUCCGAAGGUCGACAUAUCGAUUAGCUUGAAAUUUGAAGUACGAGGGUUUAACCCUUGCGGCUGUGAUAGAGUGUAUACACGAUGAAUGGAGACGGAGCAAAGAUGUCAAAUAUGAGAAAUGAUACGAAAAAAAAAUGUCAAGGAAAAAAUAUUACAAAAACGAUUACAAAGAUAGGGGCACGCCCGCAUUAUCAGAAACACCGACUAGGAAGAUUGUUCGCUCGCAAAUGGGUAUUGCGCGAGUGCGAAUGACAAUGGUGUAUAAAAAUCGAUAGCCGUGCGUCUGUCGUAGGGUGGACGCAUUAUUGGUUACAUGGGUCUCGUGAUUUCAUCGGGGUUCUUUCUCUACAUUUAUAAUCAUUUUUCUGAAUAACGAGAAUAAACGAUAACGUUUAUCAAAGAUAUCGAAAGAAGAUUAAUAUACGAAAUACAAAAAAGAAGAAAGACAAUAAUUUUUAAUUUCGACAAAAAUAUCAAAACAAAUUAUGACAACCGUAAUAAUAAUAAUAAUAAUAAUAAUAAUAAUAAUAA